GCGGGUGUCGCCAAGUGGUAAGGCGUCAGCCUUCCAAGCUGAUAUUCGUGGGUUCGAGUCCCAUCACCCGCUCCA
rnacentral:tRNA from 1 species